CGCUGGGGCGCUGUGGGGCCGGCGGCGCUGCUGCUCGGUCGCUUGCUCGGUCAGAGCUGCACGGACACGGACACGUACCCGCGCAGUCCAACCAGAACCGUUUGUGGAAGGACAAGGGACGUGCUCUGCGGGGGCUCACCAGCUCUGGACUUCCUGAGGGGUGGUGACACUGCGAGGCCGCUGCGGGCUUCCUGCUGCCUUUGGGCAAGGGCUGCUCUGGGGAGGAUGGGCUGUUAUCCCAUUGCUAUUCCAUCUCUGCAGUGCAGCUGGCGCCAGCACUGCCACCCCCAGCUAACAUCUCCAUUACCUGUGUUCCUUCUUCAGCCUCACACAUGUUCUUGGUUUCUUGACUUGCUGCUCCAUUCUCUUAUCUCUGUCCUGCCUUUUUCCUGAUGUUCUUACACACCUGCCAUGGAUACCUCUGUCAUGUUUCCUUUAUAACUCUGCUGCAGGACUGGUGUCCACGCCUUCUCGGUGUUCUAUUAUUAGGAGGAAUGGAGCACAAGGUCUAGGAGGUUUCCCAGUCAGCCAACACUUAAUGGUAUAUGUUCUCUGGGAGAAAUCUUCCCUUUAAGGCUGGAUUGAGGCCAGCUCCUGCACCGAACUCUCCCAGGCUGCACUCUGCUUGGCAGACAGGAGCAGAUGACUCUUAAGCUAGGCCACUGCUGGCACCUUGUGCCUGAGCCAAGCACUGUUUGUCCUAAUGGACAAGUGUCUGUCUGCCAGGUGGCACUUGCCAUGUGUCUUGUUACCUGGACAUGGGAAGGGACUGAUACCCUGAUGUGCAUAUAUCUGUUGUCUGGGUCCCUCUGGAGGCUGAAGCCUUGGCAUCUGAUUUGCAUCAAGAAGACAAAGUGGUCUCAUAAGUGCUCCUUAUAGCAUUGCAGGGGGUGUUGCAACCUAUGGCUGGGCCAUCAGUGGGGGCGAGGGGCAUGAGUCUGGUAUCCAGCCCUCGCCAGCAGUCAGGCAGGACUCCCUGGUCCCUCCAGUAGUCCUGUGGGCUUGCCCCUGGGCAGCCUGCAGUGCUGCCAGGUACAUGGGCCCCUAUGACCAAUGGUCCUGUUCCAGCUGCUGGCACUCAGACUCCCAUACACACAACAGGAUAGAGCCCCUCAACCGGGAAAGUAGUUAGAAAUGGAGUUCAGUCUGCAGGCAGGACAGACUGUGCUGGGUGCAGCGCAUGGACAUCCCAGUGUAGUGACCAGCCAGCUCUGUACAUGCAACCAGUCUGUUGCAUCUUGUAUCCCUCUGUUUUCCAAUGUCUGUUCCUUCUUAGAUUGCCUAGAUUCCUGCCUUUUCCAUGCCUUUUCUUCCUCUUCUAAACGUCCCAUCCCCACGAUGUCCUGUGUAAUCCCAAAAUGCUCUUCUGCAUCCCAUGAUGAUUCCCAUAUCCCAAGAUAGUGACCUGCCAACCAGCCCAAAGGUGCUUCAGAGCUCAUUUGAGUGGGUCUCACACCUGGAACAAGGGGCUGAGGCUGCCCUGGGAGGGGCGGACAGGUGCCCCCCCCUUUCUUCUGACUCCAUAACUGGGGCUUCCCCACUGCCUUUGGGCCUGGGGAGGUGGGUUUGUUGGGCUGGUGAUUCUUGAGAUGGCCUUGGGAGUAGCUGGGGAAGGUGUUACUCCCCCUGCCUACCUCCGUCUCUGUGUUUGAAUAGGAGCUUUUUGUGCCUCCAGCACUCAGGUGGGUGCAGAGUGAGGGUGAAGCUUUCCAUGUGUCCUGCUGUAUGUAUGGUCUCUUCCCAGGGGAACUGUGCUGGUGCUUUACAAGGUGCUUAAUGGGCUCUGCCAUUAAGGCCUUUCUGAACCCAACUGUGCUUGUUCCCUGUCCCAGCUGAAAGGUCCGAGCUAGCUCCUGGUGCUUCCUCUGCCUCCAGGGUGGAGGAGGGAGACAGGAGGGAAGGAUCAUCCCUUGGAGAUGACUCUCUCCUCGCUGCCUGGAGCCUGCCUGGGUGCUGGACAUAGCAGAUGUCUUCUGUAAGCGUUUGGGACGUGCACAGAGGAGCAGGAGCAGCAGCACAGCGAUGUGGGUGAGUGACCGUGUGGCCUCGGGUGCUAGGCGGUGACAGCGCUUCUCUCUGUCUCCCUCAGAGCCCCUCUGUUCCUGCUGGGAUGUGCACAGAAGAUGCAGACUGUCCCAUGGGAGAGCCAGUGGUUCAUGGCAAUGGGAUAAAAACUGGGAAAUGUGUGAUGUUCAACACCACGCAUUCCACCUGUGAGAUCUAUGGCUGGUGUCCUGUGGAGAACAGCACCCUGCCCAGGAAACCUCUUCUGGCUGAGGCAGAGAAUUUCACUCUGUUUAUAAGAAAUACUGUCCACUUCACCAAAUUUAACUUCUCCAGGAGCAGGGGGGAGAAGCAAGCAUUACUUAACACACGAUGUUUUUAGUUGUUGCUAUCAGCGUUGUUCUCAGACUAAAGCCAAAACACAGCACUGCACCAGCUACUAAGGAAAAAAAUAACUUACAGCUGAACCCAGCACAGAGGGGAAGGACUAUGGUGCAAUACUUUGCAGACCAAUGACCCCUCCUAUUUCAAGAGCUGCACAUACGACCCAUCCCUCAACCCCUCCUGCCCCAUCUUCCGUGUGCGUGACAUGGUGGAGGCAACUGGAGAGACCUUUGGAGACCUUGCACUGCUGGGAGGGUGCAUCCGAGUUCGCAUUGAGUGGGACUGUGACCUGGAUCGCCCCGUGGCCCAGUGCCAGCCACAGUACUCCUUCAGCCUGCAGGACAGGAGGUACAAUUUCAGAACUGCCUCCUACUACUGGGACUCCCAGCGGCGGCUCUACCGGAACCUGCUGAAGCUCUAUGGGAUCCGCUUUGACAUCUCCGUGCAUGGGCAGGUAUUGCUGCCCCCACCGGGCUUACUCCUGCAUCGCUCCUGCCUGCCCUCCUGCAGCCUUCCCAUGGCUUCCUGCUGGCAUGGCUUCUCACCCUGGCUGGGAAGUUCAGCAUAAUUCCUGCUGCCGUGAGCUUUGGCACUGGCAUUGCGUUCUUUGGGGCUGCCACGGUGGUCUGUGACCUGGUUCUGCUCUACCUGGAUGCAAAGGCUGACUUCUAUUGGAAGGAGAAGUUUGAGGAGGCAGCAGUGGAAGAGAGGGACCAGACCGGUGCCCAGGCUGCAGGGAAAGCUGAACCACGACCUCAACUCCUGUUAGACAACAAGGAUUCCUGAGGGGACCUUACCACAGAACCUGGCCCAGCUCCACAUUGUUCACCCUCUUCCAAACUGAGUCUGGCCAAACCCCAUGUGCCGAGGGCAGCUCUCCCGGGGCAAAACCCCCCAAAGGUAAGAGCGAGGCUGCAUCUUAGGGCCAUCAGGAAUGCUCCACCAGGCACCCUGCACUUCCAGAGCAACCUGGGGUAGAUGUGAUGUGGGCAUGGCUGCGGUGCUGGUGGAGGAGGCCCUGAUCUCCUGCACCAGUGUGUGUGUACUGCUGGGCUGAGGUUCUGCCUGCCCUGGAGACACGUUUGCAUCAGCAGAAGUUCUUGGUUCCUGCAGCAUGAACCCCAUGUGCAGCUCCCAGCCGGGGCUGGAGUGGAGCCACACAGCAGAGCUGCUGCAGGGACUUGGGCUUGCUGGGAAGCAGCAGGCCCGUGCUCGGCAUGAGAGGCUUAAAGCACUGCACUUCUUCCUGUUCCCCAUGGCCGUGGGCCUGGAGUUCUCAUGAAAACCAGGGAUCCAAUGAAAUAAAGCUGCUCGGAAAGCAGAA